UACGGGGGGAGCAAGCGUUGUUCGGAUUUACUGGGCGUAAAGGGCGCGUAGGCGGCCACCGCAAGUCAAUUGUGAAAUCUCCGGGCUUAACUCGGAAAGGUCAACUGAUACUGCGGGGCUAGAGUGCGGAAGGGGCAACUGGAAUUCUCGGUGUAGCGGUGAAAUGCGUAGACAUCGAGAGGAACACCUGCGGCGAAGGCGGGUUGCUGGGCCGACACUGACGCUGAUGCGCGAAAGCCAGGGGAGCGAACGGG
rnacentral:rRNA from 1 species